CAUGGAGCAACUACCCCUGACUGCAUCCCGGAGAUCGGGGCGGGGCUAAAUGUGGGCGGGGUCAAACGUUUAGAGGUGGGCGGAGACAACUAUUUGACUCCUGCGUCCUGCCCCACUCUCAAUGGAACCAGGAAACCGCUAUGCUAUAUGUGUGUGUGCAAUGCUGUGACAGGUGUCGGGACAGAGGGAAGUAGCUGCCAAAAUGGAGGUAAGCUAGGAUUUUUCUUUCUCUGUUUUAACAAUAUCGAGGACCAAUGUUGGGCGAACGUUUUAUAAACUUGGAAAUUAAAGGUUUUUUUUCCCAUUAUGAGUUUUAGAUGAUACAUAUAGCCUAUUUUACACAUGCGGGGCGACUUACUUUUGAGGAGAAAUGUUUACAGGGUUCCCACGGAGUCUUAAUGAAUUUAUGAAUUUGAAAGUAAUACCUUUAAAAGACUGGCGAAACCCUUCAAUUUUGGCAUCUGGGUCUUAAAAUUUGUGUUGGAUGUAAGUUUUCUGUACUGCAUUUUUCUUCUGAAGUUCAUCAAAAUAUUCCAAACAAGUGAUGACACCAAGAGAAGCACUAUUUUUAGACAUUUAUUUCAAUUUUGUGUCUUUACUGUUUGCACUGUUGCUUUUAUACAAUAGAAAUACUGCAAGAAAUUAGGGUAAUAAAAUUAGCAAUAAUAAAAAAAAUGUCUUAAAAUUAAACUAAAAUAUAGGCAACAAAAAUUAUUAAGGUUCUAAUGUCAAACCAGAUCGGUUAUAUUUUUAACCAUUUGUUUAAAAAUAUAACCGAUCUUCUACCAAGUGCCCACCCAGUGUUUUGUCAAAAUAUAUUGGUAAAGUUGUAUAGAUAAAUAAAUGAAAUUAGUUCAAUAAUUUUAUUUUAUUUAUUUACUUUUUUGUUGAUAGUGCCGUGAAAUAGGUAUUAAUUUUCCAUAUGGCUUUAGAAAGAUCUUAAACAGACUUAAAUUUAAGUUGAAGAAACCUGUAGGAACACUUUUAUAGCUUUGGGGAGAUAUGUUGUGUAGUCAUGAUUACUUUUUGGUGGAAAAUAUAUUUUACAGGGGGAAAUAUGUUAGUUUUUUAAGCUUUUUAUGUUCGUAUCUGAGUUCUACACCUGAUGGGCUUUAUUAUUAUGGUUAGAGUGCUAAUCUGAUGUGUGUAAUUAUAUAAACGUUUUGCUCAGUCAAGUGUCAACAGAAUAACAUGAAUGUUUUCAUUGUGAAUGAAUGUUGUCAUUGUAUCACCAAGGUCUGAGGAAGACAGAGUGCAGGCACGGAAAAGACGGAGAGAGGAAAGAGUAAAACAGGGCCUGGAAGUGGUCCCUCCUAAGAAGUCCUGCCAUACUGAAUUAGUCUGUGCAGCAUCAGGAGAAGUCUCUGCUUGAGGACACCUUUGAGGCAGCAAGGUGGUGUACCACAAGGUCCUUCAAAGGAAGCCUUUCCCUUCCCCAGGUCAUCACCAUGGACAGGGAAGCUUGCCGGAGGGCAGUGGAGAGGUUAUGCUUCUGUGAUGGCCUGGAUGAAGAGGAGAUGAACGAUUGCAGGGAACCGUUCCUGUUCAUGUUUAGUUUUCAGUCAGACUAUGAGGAGUUCUGCAGAGAAAUUGAGGAAAAAAGGAAGAUGAAGGUGUUUUCUGGUUUUGAAAUGCCAUAGUACAGCGGUGUCACAGUUUUUGCAUUCUUUUUCCUCCUCACAUUGUUUUUUUGGAGGUUCUCUUGUUUUUUGUGUGCUUUUUGGUUCAUUUGUUUGUACUUUUUUUUUAUUCCU